AGUCUCCAGGGAACCUGUUUCCCGGGCCUAGCAGGCAGAGCAGGCCCUGGCCCGCCCAGCAUUGCUGGCUCAGAUUUCCCUACUUUCUGGUUUUCUCAUCUCCCCUGCCCCAGGCGCCACUGCCUGCUCUCUCGCCCAGCCCCCACUCCCGGAACUGGAACCAGAGAGGGGGAGAAUUGGGAAGGGGCCUAAGAGGGGGUGUGGGGCAGCCAGUUGGGCAGCACCAGGAGGGAGAGGCAGUGAGGAGUCACCCCUGGCCCAGGGCCAGGAUGAGGUUUGGUUCAACCUCCUGCCCAGUCUGCCCCAGAGGCUGGCUAGGAGCCGAUCAAAAGCUGGAAUGACCCACCUCCCUGGCUGCUUACCAGCCUUUUUGCUGCUGUUCCCUCAACUAGGAAUGCUCUUCCCGGGCAUAUAUGCCAGUUGGAAUCCUGUACUUCCUCCAGGACUGAGCCUUGAUCAUCUUUCACCCAUAGACACUGUCUCUUGCUGCCCAAGAGCCUGAGUGUCCCCUCUAAAGGUUUACCUCCUCUUCCUCUGCUUUUGGAGCCCUGGACUCGCCUAGGAACCUCUGAAUUCUCAUUUGGAGCCUUCCCACAUGUGAUUCCCUCAUACCUAGAAUGCCUUCCUGUUUCCUUCUAGAUCUGUAGGUCCCCUGGGCAGAGGCUUUGUCACCCAGGAAGCUGGUCCUGAUGAUGGAUGAAUCAGAGCUCCCUGGGGUCCUAAGGAUCCUACACCCAUCCAGGCUCUAGGAAAUCCUGAAUUCCAUCAGUAACGGCCGCCCAUGUGAGUUCAGUCAUCACAGGUUGGCCUCCAACUCUAUGCAGAUGAGAUGACCUUGAACUUCUGACCUUCCCACCUUCACCUCCCAAAUGCUAGGACUACAGUCCACAUUGACUCAAGUCCUCCAGUACCUGUCUCAACCUUGAAGCAGCUACCCAUCCUCCUCUCCAGGCACCCAAUUCCUGCAAGCCUGAGGAAAUACACACGCCGGCCCUGCGGCUAGAACCAGGAAACCCCAGCCCUUCUAGCUCUUACUGGUCUCAGGACAGCUGUCAUGGGACUAUCUGUCUCUGACAUGGUUAUCGGGAGAUAACCUCAACAGUUAAUCCUCAGUGCUUCCAUUUCCCUCCCUGGAGGGGAGCUGUCUGUCCUCUGCAUUAUUUGCUCAUGCUCAGACCUUCAGUGUUUCCAGCAAUGAGGGAUUCCAGCUGAAGGCCGGCCUUUCAAUUUUUUUGUUAUUGGGGCUGGAAGUAUCUCAGCGGUGAAGAAUAUUUGCUAGUCUUGCAGAGGACCUGGGUUCAAUUUCCAGCACCAACAUGGUGGCUCACAACUAUCUAAAAUAUAAACCAUCUUAAAAAAAAAAAAAAAAAAAAGGAAAGAAAGAAAAGAAUUCAAGACCUCCUGCACCAUCCUUCCUUGGGCUGGAUUAGGCAGCUCCACACACAGCUUUCUCUUAGGCUCACAUGACUCACAUUCAUACCCAUAAAAUAAAUUUAAAUUA